rnacentral:misc_RNA from 1 species
UUGAUUUAAAGAUGUGCUGGCAUUUCUUCACAGGUUUGCAUGUGCACUCUAAAAUCUCCUUCUCUUACCCCAUUGUGCACACUCCAGUAGGCAGACAGAAAUCCACAGAGCAAUCUGUGCAAUCUGAUUUGUCUAUGCUUUUACCAAACACCAAUAACAUGUCAGAAUGAUCUAUGUAGUAAGCUUUAAAUAAGCUGAAAUCUAAUA